rnacentral:rRNA from 1 species
GAUGAACGCUGGCGGCGUGCCUAAUACAUGCCAGUCGAGCGAACAGACGAGGAGCUUGCUCCUCUGACGUUAGCGGCGGACGGGUGAGUAACACGUGGAUAACCUACCUAUAAGACUGGGAUAACUUCGGGAAACCGGAGCUAAUACCGGAUAAUAUAUUGAACCGCAUGGUUCAAUAGUGAAAGACGGUUUUGCUGUCACUUAUAGAUGGAUCCGCGCCGCAUUAGCUAGUUGGUAAGGUAACGGCUUACCAAGGCAACGAUGCGUAGCCGACCUGAGAGGGUGAUCGGCCACACUGGAACUGAGACACGGUCCAGACUCCUACGGGAGGCAGCAGUAGGGAAUCUUCCGCAAUGGGCGAAAGCCUGACGGAGCAACGCCGCGUGAGUGAUGAAGGUCUUCGGAUCGUAAAACUCUGUUAUUAGGGAAGAACAAAUGUGUAAGUAACUAUGCACGUCUUGACGGUACCUAAUCAGAAAGCCACGGCUAACUACUUG